rnacentral:tRNA from 1 species
UGGCAGCGGUGAGAUUCGAACCCACGCCUCAUUAAAAUUGGUGCCUAAAACCAGCGCCUUAGACCACUCGGCCUUACUACC